rnacentral:rRNA from 1 species
CAGCAGCCGCGGUAAUACAGAGACUGCAAGCGUUAUUCGGAUUCACUGGGCGUAAAGGGUGCGCAGGUGGCCAAGUGUGUCAGGUGUGAAAUCCCGGGGCUUAACUCCGGAACUGCGCCUGAAACUGCUUGGCUAGAGCAUUGGAGAGGGAAGUGGAAUUCACGGUGUAGCAGUGAAAUGCGUAGAUAUCGUGAGGAACACCAGAGGCGAAGGCGACUUCCUGGACAAUUGCUGACACUCAGGCACGAAAGCGUGGGUAGCCAAAGGGAUUAGAUACCCCUGUAGUCCACGCCCUAAACGGUGCAUACUAGGUCUUGGAGGAUUCGACCCCUUCAGGGCCCAGGCUAACGCGUUAAGUAUGCCGCCUGAGGACUACGGCCGCAAGGCUAAAACUCAAAG